ACGCUCGACACCUACGGUAGGCAGCAGUGGGGAAUAUUGCACAAUGGGGGAAACCCUGAUGCAGCGACGCCGCGUGAGCGAAGAAGUAUCUCGGUAUGUAAAGCUCUAUCAGCAGGGAAGAAGAUGACGGUACCUGACUAAGAAGCACCGGCUAAAUACGUGCAGCAGCCGCGGUAAUCUGAGCGGGCUGGCAAGGC
rnacentral:rRNA from 1 species